AUUGAACGCUGGCGGCAGGCUUAACACAUGCAAGUCGAGCGGAGCGAGGGUGCUUGCACCUUAGCUUAGCGGCGGACGGGUGAGUAAUGCUUAGGAAUCUGCCUAUUAGUGGGGGACAACAUUCCGAAAGGAAUGCUAAUACCGCAUACGCCCUACGGGGGAAAGCAGGGGAUCUUCGGACCUUGCGCUAAUAGAUGAGCCUAAGUCGGAUUAGCUAGUUGGUGGGGUAAAGGCCUACCAAGGCGACGAUCUGUAGCGGGUCUGAGAGAAUGAUCCGCCACACUGGGACUGAGCCACGGCCCAGACUCCUACGGGAGGCAGCAGUGGGGAAUAUUGGACAAUGGGCGGAAGCCUGAUCCAGCCAUGCCGCGUGUGUGAAGAAGGCCUUUUGGUUGUAAAGCACUUUAAGCGAGGAGGAGGCUACUUAGAUUAAUACUCUGGGAUAGUGGACGUUACUCGCAGAAUAAGCACCGGCUAACUCUGUGCCAGCAGCCGCCGUAA
rnacentral:rRNA from 1 species